rnacentral:rRNA from 1 species
AUUGAACGCUAGCGGGAUGCCUUACACAUGCAAGUCGAACGGCAGCACGGACUUCGGUCUGGUGGCGAGUGGCGAACGGGUGAGUAAUGUAUCGGAACGUGCCCAGUAGCGGGGGAUAACUACGCGAAAGCGUAGCUAAUACCGCAUACGCCCUACGGGGGAAAGCAGGGGAUCGCAAGACCUUGCACUAUUGGAGCGGCCGAUAUCGGAUUAGCUAGUUGGUGGGGUAACGGCUCACCAAGGCGACGAUCCGUAGCUGGUUUGAGAGGACGACCAGCCGCACUGGGACUGAGACACGGCCCAGACUCCUACGGGAGGCAGCAGUGGGGAAUUUUGGACAAUGGGGGAAACCCUGAUCCAGCCAUCCCGCGUGUGCGAUGAAGGCCUUCGGGUUGUAAAGCACUUUUGGCAGGAAAGAAACGUCGCGGGUUAAUACCUCGCGAAACUGACGGUACCUGCAGAAUAAGCACCGGCUAACUACGUG